UAGCUCAGUGGUAGAGCACUCACCUAGCAUAUGUGAGGCUCUAGGUUCAAACCCUGG
rnacentral:tRNA from 1 species